rnacentral:rRNA from 1 species
GAUGAACGCUGGCGGAGUGCCUAACACAUGCAAGUCGAGCGGCAGCGCGAGUAGUUUACUACUUGGCGGCGAGCGGCGGACGGCCGAGUAACGCGUGAGAACACACCCCAAAGUGAGGAAUAACUGCCCGAAAGGGUAGCUAAUGCCGCAUAUGAUCUUCGGAUUAAAGGAUUUAUCCGCUUUGGGAGUGGCUUGCGUAC